rnacentral:rRNA from 1 species
AAUAGCUGCAGUAUAAUAACUGUACUAAGGUAGCAUAAUAAUUUGCCUUAUAAAUUGAGGCUAGAAUGAAUGGUUUGACGAAAGUUGAUCUGUCUCUUAUUAAUUUUUUAGAAAUUAAUUUUUAUAGUGAGAAAGCUUAAAUUGUUUAAAGGGACGAGAAGACCCUAUUGAGCUUUAUCAUUUUUAAUAAAAAAAAUUAAAUUUAUUAAAAAAAUGAUUUUGAUUGGGGUGAUCAAGGAAUAAGAAAAUAAAAAAUAACUUCCUUAUGUAAAUAUAUUUGAUAAAAUAAUUAACCAAAUUUAUUGCUAACAAGAAUAAGUUACCAUAGGGAUAACAGCGUAAUUUUUUUAGAGAGUUCUUAUUGAUAAAAAGGAUUGCGACCUCGAUGUUGGAUUAAAAUAACCUUAAGGUGAAGAGGCUUUAUUAGGUAAAUCUGUUCGAUUUUUAAUAUUUU